GACGAACGCUGGCGGCGUGCUUAACACAUGCAAGUCGAGCGGUAAGGCCCUUUCGGGGGUACGACGAGCGGCGAACGGGUAGAGUAACACGUGGGUGACCUGCCCUCAGCUCUGGGAUAAGCCUGGGAAACCGGGUCUAAUACUGGAUAUGACUCCAUGACGCAUGUUGUGGGGUGGAAAGCCUUGUGCGGCUGAGGAUGGGCCCGCGGCCUAAUCAGCUUGUUGGUGGGGUGANGGCCCUACCAAGGCGACGACGGGUAGCCGGCCUGAGAGGGCGACCGGCCACACUGGGACUGAGACACGGCCCAGACUCCUACGGGAGGCAGCAGUGGGGAAUCUUGCGCAAUGGGCGAAAGCCUGACGCAGCGACGCCGCGUGA
rnacentral:rRNA from 1 species